rnacentral:rRNA from 1 species
UACGGGGUCCGAAGCGUUAAUCGGAAUUACUGGGCGUAAAGCGUGCGCAGGCGGUUGAUUAAGCGAGAUGUGAAAGCCCCGGGCUCAACCUGGGAAUUGCAUUUCGAACUGGUCGACUAGAGUCUUGUAGAGGGGGUAGAAUUCCAGGUGUAGCGGUGAAAUGCGUAGAGAUCUGGAGGAAUACCGGUGGCGAAGGCGGCCCCCUGGACAAAGACUGACGCUCAGGCACGAAAGCGUGGGGAGCAAACAGG